rnacentral:rRNA from 1 species
GAUGAACGCUGGCGGCGUGCCUAAUACAUGUAAGUCGAGCGAACGAACGAGAAGCUUGCUUUUCUGAUGUUAGCGGCGGACGGGUGAGUAACACGUGGAUAACCUACCUAUAAGACUGGGAUAACUUCGGGAAACCGGAGCUAAUACCGGAUAAUAUUUUGAACCGCAUGGUUCAAAAGUGAAAGACGGUCUUGCUGUCACUUAUAGAUGGAUCCGCGCUGCAUUAGCUAGUUGGUAAGGUAACGGCUUACCAAGGCAACGAUGCAUAGCCGACCUGAGAGGGUGAUCGGCCACACUGGAACUGAGACACGGUCCAGACUCCUACGGGAGGCAGCAGUAGGGAAUCUUCCGCAAUGGGCGAAAGCCUGACGGAGCAACGCCGCGUGAGUGAUGAAGGUCUUCGGAUCGUAAAACUCUGUUAUUAGGGAAGAACAUAUGUGUAAGUAACUGUGCACAUCUUGACGGUACCUAAUCAGAAAGCCACGGCUAACUACGUG